rnacentral:rRNA from 1 species
UAGAAGCAGCCAUCAUUUAAAGAGUGCGUAAUAGCUCACUAGUCUAGUUUUUUGGCGCCGCAAGUAUAACGGGGCUAAGCUUAAUACCGAAUUUUUGGAUUUAUGUUUUUUAAAUAUAAAUGGUAGACAAAUGUUGUGUAAAAGCGUAAAGUUUGAGCGAGAGUACAAAUGGACUUCACAUAAGUAAGAAUUCCGGCGUGAGUAACGAAUGAAAGUGAGAAUCUUUCUAGCCGAUUGAUUAAGGUUUCCGGGGCUAGGUUCGUCCUCCUCGGGUUAGUCGAUCCUAAGGUGAGGUCGAAAGACGUAAUUGAUGGAUAACAGGUUAAUAUUCCUGUACUGCCUUAGAAAUUUGAUGGACUGACAAAAAGGGUUGAAGCGAGAGAAUUAAUGGAUUUCCUUUCAAGUUUUCAAGCAAGCCUGGGGUGAAAAUCACCCAGGCAUAAUUGUGAGAUUCAAGUACGAUUCUCAGUAGCGAUACUAAGGAGAGUCACUAUCAAUCUAAUUUUCCAGAAAAGGUUCUAAAUUAUAUAUCUAAGGUAUUCGUACCGAAAACGAACACACGUGAUCAAGGAGAAUAUCCUAAGGCUAGCGAGCUAACUACAGUUAAAGAACUCUGCAAAUUAACUCUGUAACUUCGGGA